rnacentral:rRNA from 1 species
CCUACGGGGGGCAGCAGUCGGGAAUUUUGGGCAAUGGGCGAAAGCCUGACCCAGCAACGCCGCGUGAAGGAUGAAGUAUUUCGGUAUGUAAACUUCGAAAGAAUGGGAGACGGUACCAUUUAUAAGCUCCGGCUAACUACGUGCCAGCAGCCGCGGUAAUACGUAGGGAGCAAGCGUUGUUCGGAUUUACUGGGCGUAAAGGGCGCGUAGGCGGCAAAUUAAGUCAGCUGUGAAAUCUCCGAGCUUAACUCGGAACGGUCAGCUGAUACUGAUCUGCUAGAGUGCGGAAGGGGCAAUCGGAAUUCUUGGUGUAGCGGUGAAAUGCGUAGAUAUCAAGAGGAACACCUGAGGUGAAGACGGGUUGCUGGGCCGAAUGACGCUGAUGCGCGAAAGCCAGGGGAGCAAACGGGAUUAGAUACCCUUGUAGUC